GGCGACCGGCGCACGGGUGAGUAACGCGUAUGCAACUUGCCUAUCAGAGGGGGAUAACCCGGCGAAAGUCGGACUAAUACCGCAUGAAGCAGGGGCCCCGCAUGGGGAUAUUUGCUAAAGAUUCAUCGCUGAUAGAUAGGCAUGCGUUCCAUUAGGCAGUUGGCGGGGUAACGGCCCACCAAACCGACGAUGGAUAGGGGUUCUGAGAGGAAGGUCCCCCACAUUGGUACUGAGACACGGACCAAACUCCUACGGGAGGCAGCAGUGAGGAAUAUUGGUCAAUGGCCGAGAGGCUGAACCAGCCAAGUCGCGUGAGGGAUGAAGGUUCUAUGGAUCGUAAACCUCUUUUAUAAGGGAAUAAAGUGCGGGACGUGUCCCGUUUUGUAUGUACCUUAUGAAUAAGGAUCGGCUAACUCCGUGCCAGCAGCCGCGGUAAUACGGAGGAUCCGAGCGUUAUCCGGAUUUAUUGGGUUUAAAGGGUGCGUAGGCGGCCUUUUAAGUCAGCGGUGAAAGUCUGUGGCUCAACCAUAGAAUUGCCGUUGAAACUGGGGGGCUUGAGUAUGUUUGAGGCAGGCGGAAUGCGUGGUGUAGCGGUGAAAUGCAUAGAUAUCACGCAGAACCCCGAUUGCGAAGGCAGCCUGCCAAGCCAUUACUGACGCUGAUGCACGAAAGCGUGGGGAUCAAACAGGAUUAGAUACCCUGGUAGUCCACGCAGUAAACGAUGAUCACUAGCUGUUUGCGAUACACUGUAAGCGGCACAGCGAAAGCGUUAAGUGAUCCACCUGGGGAGUACGCCGGCAACGGUGAAACUCAAAGGAAUUGACGGGGGCCCGCACAAGCGGAGGAACAUGUGGUUUAAUUCGAUGAUACGCGAGGAACCUUACCCGGGUUUGAACGCAUUCGGACCGAGGUGGAAACACCUUUUCUAGCAAUAGCCGUUUGCGAGGUGCUGCAUGGUUGUCGUCAGCUCGUGCCGUGAGGUGUCGGCUUAAGUGCCAUAACGAGCGCAACCCUUGCCACUAGUUACUAACAGGUAAAGCUGAGGACUCUGGUGGGACUGCCAGCGUAAGCUGCGAGGAAGGCGGGGAUGACGUCAAAUCAGCACGGCCCUUACAUCCGGGGCGACACACGUGUUACAAUGGCGUGGACAAAGGGAGGCCACCUGGCGACAGGGAGCGAAUCCCCAAACCACGUCUCAGUUCGGAUCGGAGUCUGCAACCCGACUCCGUGAAGCUGGAUUCGCUAGUAAUCGCGCAUCAGCCAUGGCGCGGUGAAUACGUUCCCGGGCCUUGUACACACCGCCCGUCAAGCCAUGGGAGCCGGGGGUACCUGA
rnacentral:rRNA from 1 species